ensembl:lncRNA
UGUGGUCUGUUUUGUCUGGAGAGGGUUUUUGGUGUUUCUGUGUUUUUGUGUUUGUGUGUCUGCACCAGCCAGCGCUCAAGGGGGCGGGACGUCAUUACUGAGGUGAGAGCAGCGGCUAGCAGCUUAGCAUCAACAAUCUCCCACCUGGCGCUGCCUGCCCAAUCAGGGGAGGUAUUUAGGAGUGGCCCUGACGUCUCGUCCCUGCCGAAUUGCACCUGGUGGGUUGUGUUUCCUGUGCACUCACCCAGUCACCUAGUCCCAUUUUUUCCCAUCCCUGGAUCCUAAGAACCAGCACCUCGGCUGGGAUUCCGGACCGCCAUCACCACCCUGUUACUUUCCAUUAUUGCCCCCCAAGAAAAUAAAACCUGUGUUAUUCACUUCACUCGGUCUGCGUUUGGGUCUGUUCCGGUGGGGGAAUACCUGACAGAUUGUUAGUCUUUGUCGGUGUCUCCUGUUGCCUGGCACUUCGGCCUCCACUCCUCGUAAGGUUGGCCGACUCAAUUCCCCGCCCAGGUUCCGGCUGCCCUCCAGGCCGCCCCCCAUAGAACUCGCGCUGCCACAUCACCCUCCGGGCCGCCUCCCGAAGACUCCUUGCCCACCGGUUCCUCCGUCAGGCCGUCUCCCUGA